rnacentral:rRNA from 1 species
CCUACGGGAGGCAGCAGUGGGGAAUCUUGCGCAAUGGGCGAAAGCCUGACGCAGCAACGCCGCGUGCGGGAAGAAGGCUUUCGGGCUGUAAACCGCUUUCAGCAGGAACGAAAAUGACGGUACCUGCAGAAGAAGGAGCGGCCAACUAUGUGCCAGCAGCCGCGGUGAUACAUAGGCUUCAAGCGUUGUCCGGAUUUAUUGGGCGUAAAGAGUUCGUAGGCGGUCGAGUAAGUCGGGUGUGAAAAUUCUGGGCUCAACCCAGAGACGCCACCCGAUACUGCUUGACUUGAGUUCGAUAGGGGAGUGGGGAAUUCCUAGUGUAGCGGUGAAAUGCGCAGAUAUUAGGAGGAACACCGGUGGCGAAGGCGCCACUCUGGAUCGAUACUGACGCUGAGGAACGAAAGCAUGGGUAGCAAACAGGAUUAGAUACCCUGGUAGUCCAUGCCGUAAACGGUGGGCACUAGGUGUGGGUUUCUAUUAACGAAAUCCGCGCCGUCGCUAACGCAUUAAGUGCCCCGCCUGGGGAGUACGGUCGCAAGACUAAAACUUAAAGAUAGUGCGNGNGAGUGCGACGAGCACAGGAGGUAG